AAUUCUGGGGCCUUCGCCGGCCGCCCCCGCCCCCCGGCGCGGCACUUUCAGUUUUGCCUCCCCCUUCGGCCCGGGCCGCGGCGGGCAUCCUGGAGGCCGGGCCCUCGCGCCCCGCCCGCGCCUCCAUCCCGGCAUCUGGCCGCUCUCUGGCCGCCCCGCACCCUGGGCUCAGCCGACCUGGCUUUGUCUACUCCUUAACGUGGAGAUCAGGCGCCGCCGGGCUGCAGGAUCUCUCCCGGGGCGCGAGGGGCGCGGGAGGCGAGUCCUACCCUAGAUGCGCUCCUAGGAGUGCAUUUCCUGGCCCUGAAAAGACCUAGAAAUGUUGACCGAUCCAGUGGCAAUGAGCAUGACUAGUGCCCAGAUUGUGGUCUCUCCUUGAAGAAAUGGCUGACUUAAGGUCUGGGGGAAACAUGCACGAUAAGCCUGGAGCAUCUUAAUAUGCCAGAAAGCAAGGAAGCUAUCAGUGACUCCUGGGGUCAUGUCAGAAGGACUCUGGAAUGAACCUGAAGAUGCCUCCAUGGGCCAAAGAUGGUGCAAGAUAAGCAUCAAUAAGAAUAAUUGCAAUGCAAUUGCAAUGGAUGGAAACAGACCAAAUGGUAAAAAUCCAUGAGUUUAUAGUGUUAAAUAAAAUACUUAUUGGUUA